rnacentral:rRNA from 1 species
AUGCCUUAGUAACGGCGAGUGAAGCGGCAAAAGCUCAAAUUUGAAAUCUGGUACCUUUGGUGCCCGAGUUGUAAUUUGGAGAGGGCAACUUUGGGACCGUUCCUUGUCUAUGUUCCUUGGAACAGGACGUCAUAGAGGGUGAGAAUCCCGUGUGGCGAGGAGUGCGGUUCUAUGUAAAGUGCCUUCGAAGAGUCGAGUUGUUUGGGAAUGCAGCUCUAAGUGGGUGGUAAAUUCCAUCUAAAGCUAAAUAUUGGCGAGAGACCGAUAGCGAACAAGUACAGUGAUGGAAAGAUGAAAAGAACUUUGAAAAGAGAGUGAAAAAGUACGUGAAAUUGUUGAAAGGGAAGGGCAUUUGAUCAGACAUGGUGUUUUGCGCCCUCUGCUCCUUGUGGGUGGGGGAAUCUCGCAGUUCACUGGGCCAGCAUCAGUUUUGGUGGCAGGAUAAAUCCGUAGGAAUGUAACUUGCUUCGGGAAGUAUUAUAGCCUAUGGGAAUACUGCCAGCUGGGACUGAGGACUGCGACGUAAGUCAAGGAUGCUGGCAUAAUGGUUAUAUGCCGCCCGUCUUG